UGGCUCAGAUUGAACGCUGGCGGCAGGCCUAACACAUGCAAGUCGAGCGGUAGAGAGAAGCUUGCUUCUCUUGAGAGCGGCGGACGGGUGAGUAAUGCCUAGGAAUCUGCCUGGUAGUGGGGGAUAACGUUCGGAAACGGACGCUAAUACCGCAUACGUCCUACGGGAGAAAGCAGGGGACCUUCGGGCCUUGCGCUAUCAGAUGAGCCUAGGUCGGAUUAGCUAGUUGGUGGGGUAAUGGCUCACCAAGGCGACGAUCCGUAACUGGUCUGAGAGGAUGAUCAGUCACACUGGAACUGAGACACGGUCCAGACUCCUACGGGAGGCAGCAGUGGGGAAUAUUGGACAAUGGGCGAAAGCCUGAUCCAGCCAUGCCGCGUGUGUGAAGAAGGUCUUCGGAUUGUAAAGCACUUUAAGUUGGGAGGAAGGGCCAUUACCUAAUACGUGAUGGUUUUGACGUUACCGACAGAAUAAGCACCGGCUAACUCUGUGCCAGCAGCCGCGGUAAUACAGAGGGUGCAAGCGUUAAUCGGAAUUACUGGGCGUAAAGCGCGCGUAGGUGGUUUGUUAAGUUGGAUGUGAAAUCCCCGGGCUCAACCUGGGAACUGCAUUCAAAACUGACUGACUAGAGUAUGGUAGAGGGUGGUGGAAUUUCCUGUGUAGCGGUGAAAUGCGUAGAUAUAGGAAGGAACACCAGUGGCGAAGGCGACCACCUGGACUGAUACUGAC
rnacentral:rRNA from 4 species